GACAAGAAUGAAUGCAAACAAAGGAAAAUGUAAAAAUGAGAACAUUCCUGUCAGAGGUGACCCCACAAGCAGAGGCACAGACGGAUGCAGGAACCCCCAUGGUGUGCCUGGGAAGAAUUAUACCUCUUAAUUUUGCUGAAACAGAGGAAACAAGGGCAGGACCUGUAACUGAGAAUCCUUUUGGAUUUAUCAUGUCAACAUUUUGAAGGUGUUCACUGUCUUACGUGUCUUCGGGAUCUUGCUAUUUAAGAACUGCAGAGACCUCAGACUAUGAAAUCAGACAUGGAAACAUGAGAGUCAGAGCAACUGGGCCUCAUCAAAAUUUAGAUGUACGUCAUCAUUCACCACUCAUCUCUUUCCUGAGGCUGCUUUGCCCUACCAAGACCUUUGCUGUGUUCUACAAGUAUACCACCUUCCUAUUUGUAUUCUCCCAUAACCUUACCUUUUGAGUUUCCAUUGUAGCAGAAUUAUGUCAUGUGUUGGUCCCUGAUCACUUUUGAGCAGACACCUUAUGUUUGAGGAGGUUCUCACAUGGAAAGUCCUACCCCCAUGCACUAGAAGACAGAGCUAAAUUUCCUGAUCUGCAACUGAGGUGCAGCCUGACUGUUGUAUUCAAGAACCAGGAGCUGUUGCUAUAAAGGAUCUGUAUUUUCCUGAGAGAAGCAACAUGAAGGGAGUCUGGGGCAUUCUGAGGCUAUGCUAUCUAGCUGACUCCUGACUAGUGAGAAUGCAGAUAUUCAGUGUCCACUGUCACCCAAAGGGCCCCUAUUGAGGAUGCACUUUGGGGAAUUUUUUGUAUGUGAACAUAUAAACCCACUGAUGCUAAUACUUAAUAAACUUUUUUUCUACUU